UACAGAGGUCCCAAGCGUUGUUCGGAUUCACUGGGCGUAAAGGGUGCGUAGGCGGUCGGGUAAGUCUGACGUGAAAUCUCCAAGCUCAACUUGGAAAUGGCGUCGGAUACUAUUCGGCUUGAGGAGUGGAGGGGAGACUGGAAUUCUCGGUGUAGCAGUGAAAUGCGCAGAUAUCAGGAGGAACACCGGUGGCGAAGGCGGGUCUCUGGGCCGAUACUGACGCUGAGGAGCGAAAGCGUGGGGAGCGAACAGG
rnacentral:rRNA from 1 species